CAGCACUUCCUCCACAUAGGCUUUCUCUAGGGCUGACCAGGGCUGCCAUCUUCUCUCCUGCCUUUCCAUGUGUACAAUGGGACACAGUGGUGUCCAUAUGCCCAUGCCACACACUGACCUGGGAAGCCUGGCUCCAGCCAGACCCUCAACUUCAAGAAGGCAGAAGAGGUUUCCCAACCAUUACCUCUAUACCACAUGCAUUCCAGGAAAAAAGUGUAUGGCAGUGAAUGGGAGUGCCCUUGGAGGACAGAAGAGGACUUUGGAUCCCCUGGAGCUGGAGCUACUUACUGGUGGUUGUGAGUUGACAGAUUGGAUACUGGGAAGCAAACCUGUAUCCUAUGUCAGUGCAGAAAGUUCUCCUAACCAUUGAGCCAUCCUUCCAGGCCCCAACAUACUUUGGACAAAGAUGCCAAAAACAUACAUUGAGGAAAAUGAUAUUUUUUGAAUAAGUAGUUUUGGAUAUUCACACAUAGAGGAUAAAAUUAGAUUCUCAUCUCUCCUCCAACCAAAAGUGCAGUUCAGAUUAGACAAAGACCCUAAGGUGAGACCUGAAACCACUAGAGAAAAAGCUACAGAAAACAGCUCAAUAUAUGGGCAUAUGCAAGAACAUUCUGAGAAGAAAUCCAGUACACAAUAUAUUCCAAGAACUCAACAAAUAGGCCUCCAAAAAUUAAAAAUCAUGCUCCAUUAGCAAGGAAGCAAUCCCCAGCAUAAAGAGACAGCCUGGCAAAUGGGAGAAGAUCAGUCCGCAGAUUAAUAUCUAGGCUCUGUAAUGAAUUUCAAAACUUGAAUAUCAAAAAAUCUUCCAAUUAAUAAAUGGACAAGUAAAUUGAAGAAAUACAACUAUAAUUUACAAAAACUCCAUAAACAUUUGAAAAAAAAGGGCAAAUACCACAAUCCACUGGAAAUAUAAAUUAAAAUUGUGUGGUGAUACUAUCUCAUUAUAGUCAGAACUGUCAUAUUAAGGAAACAAAAGCUUCCAGGGAGGAGGUGGAAGUGAGCUCUUAUACUCUGCUGGUCAGAAUGGGAACUGGUGCAGCUGCCAUGGGAAUCAAUAUGGGGGCUGUUGGUGACUUCCCAAAUUCUUUGACAAAAUAUCUGAGAAAGGAAUUUGAGGCAGGAUGGUAUAUUUAUUUGGGCUCCUGUUGAAUGGUUUAGUCCAUCCUGGUGGGGAAGGAGUGGUGCAGGUGUCUGAAGUGGCUGAUCCCAUUGUCUCUUUGGUCAGAAAGCAGAUGAAUCCUGUUGCUCAGCAUCCACUUCACUUCGCUUUUGAAGCAGUCUGGAACCCUAGCUCAUGAGAUGGUGCUGCCCAGACUCAGCGCAGAUGUUGUGUUUCUUUUGGGGGACACACUGGAUGCAUGGGUUACAGAAGUCGAUCAUAUGACAACUGCUUCAGCUGGAGACGUUGCCCGGAGAAGAUCUCAUCACAUUUGCCAAGAAGCAAAUGAUGCUACUACAGAGAGUAAAGCAAGGUGCACAGAUCAGCAGCAGAAUAUCUGAAUACUCUGGAGAUUGCUAGAUGAAAACAUAAGGAGUGAAUUUCAAACUAUAACUACAGAGAAGGACCUUCUGAACAAGAAUGCAGUCGCUUGGGAAAUAAACAAGAUUUGAUGCAUAAGCCAACAUAACACUUAGAAGCUUCUGCACAGGCUUCAUGGUUCCAGCUAAUGCAUCAAAUACAAUAAUGAAAAGGACUGGGCAUAGUGGACAGCACUGAUUAUUUUCAGAUUUGAUUGGGAUUGAUUCAAGUUCUUCUCCACUGAACCUGACGCUGCCCGUGGGUUUGUCAUAGAAACCUCCAUUCUAUUGAGGUACCAUAGGACUUUUAUCAAAAAAAGCAUGUUGGAUUUUAUCAAAGGCUUUUUCUACAUCUUUUAAGAUCAUCAUGUGAUCUUUGCCUUGA